UAAAUGUGUCCAUGAAUCGUCCUUUGAAUUAAUAAGAUGAUAACCUGUAUUCUCAAGAGUUGAGAAUUUGAGAUACAUAUUAUUGGUGAUUAAUUCAUAAAUGCUCUCAAUCGGAGGAUCAUCAUGGGGACGAUGAUAGAUCCGGUAAGAUUGAUGUGUGUGCCGCUUCCUUUUUGGGAUGACGAAUCUCGAGUCAUCAGUGUGGGGACACUGGAGCGAACAUGCAGGUGGUUGUUGGAGAACAACGGUACUGAGCGUGACCAACUACGAACAGUUACAUGGAUGUCUACUCAUUCGUCAGUAACUGGUUCGAUGUUGCAGUGGUACAACUGAUCCUUAGACCUGCGACACAACGGUCAUUCAAUAUGAGGCUACUGUAGUUUGACUAUGCAACAAACUCUGAUCCUAGCCAUGGGUCUUAGUAGUAUAUGUUGGCUGCGGUCGGUUCAUAUUAGGAAUGGGUGUGUGUUUAUAGGGGAUCUAUCGCUCUCGGUAGAGAGAUAAUUAGUUCUAUGCUAUUUGUACGACAAAGCUCAGAAAUCCUCGGCCGGGGUAAUAUGGUGUAUGGAAAGAUGUUUCCAAGAGUAACCAUAAGAGCUUCUGUCUGAUCAAAUUUGUCAUAUGACGGGUGAUGGGGUUUGACGAAUAUUCCAUGACCUCCACUCAGUUGGAACUAUGCGAUAGAAGGAUUGUAUUGUACGGUAACUGCACCUAGAGGUUCAGUCCGAUAUUCACUUCUGACUGGAUUGCCACUACAUGCUGUUAGGCGUCACUGGUGGAUUGUGGGAACCAAUAGAAAUAAUUAUUAAUAUUUAAUUAUUCUAUUAGGGUGGAAUCAAAAGAGUUUGAGCCAUCGAAAAGAGUUUCGAUGAUGAUGUGGAUGGAGAUCGCAUCAUAUCCCACUAACAGACAGAAUUGAACCUAUUAGGUCACACACAUAAGAAAUCGCGCAUGAUCGAUAUUUAAGAUACGAUAAAAGAAGUUUAUCGGAUGGAUUAAUUAUAAUUACAAUAUAGUUAAAUACUAAAGUUUACUAAUUUAUUAGUAAAAGGACUAAUUUGCAAUUGUUGUAAAUUAGAGGUAUUUAUGUGUAAAAGUUGCAUGGUGUAUUUACUAAUUGUUAGUUGUUAAGGAUUUUAUAGGUUGGCGAAUUUCGUAAAGUUGGUUGGAGUCUUGAAGAGUGGAUCGCAGAAGUUUUGAAGAAAAGAUUCAAAUUGAAGAACUAAGACUCAUUCGGAAAGCUCGACACCUAAGGUAUGAAGAAAAGAUCAUUUGUGGUGAAGAUACCUAGUUAGAAUAAGUUCAGAAGGCUUAGAUGGUUUUAAAACUACUUUACUGAACUUUUCUGUGUUCUGGGACCGGUCUCAGAGUUCAAGAGACCGGUACCCCUAAGGUCCUCACUGCGUGAACCUUGAUGCAACCGGUCCCCUGUGAUGAGAGACCGGUUCCCGAACCUUGGUAUUUCUGUCGCGCAGCAAGGGACCGGUCUCAAGCUUGAGAGACCGGUCCCCGAACGUUGUGAUUUUGGUCACGCAGCGAGGGACCGGUUCCUCACUUGAGAGACCGGUCUCUCACAGACCGGUCUCCUCGAGAAGACCGGUCUCUGAGGACGACACAGGUUUUUAAAAAAGAGUUUUUGCAAUCCUAGUCUACUUCUAAGUCUUCUAAACAUAUAAAUAAGCUAUGUGGGUCAUCUAAAAGUUUAAGGCUUUGAAUUUUUACUGAUUCUAAACCCUAGAAACUUAUUUUUCUUCGUUUCAAUGCUUUGAUUCACAUAACGAGUUUCCAACAAUCAACAAUCGGCUUGAUUCUUCGUUUUUACUCGAUAACCCAUACGAGAAUCAAGUAGAUGUUUGAUUAAAGGUGAACCCUCAUAGCUUAUGGUAUUAAAAGGUUAAAUCAUCACAAAUCUUCGAUUCUACAAGCUCCGGAAGGAGGUUCGACGCGUGGAUCUCGCGUGAAGCCGAGGAUUCGGUGGACGCUUCGAGGAAUUGAGGCGUUGACGCUGCGAGGAGUUGCAGCAAGGUCGAUUGGUGGAUUCCUAUCGAUCGAGGACCGGCAAAGAUCACCAUCAACAAGAAAUCGGUAAAUUGAGUCGUGUGUUUUUGUCGAAAUCACUUGUACUCAAGUUUUCUUAGUGGAUUUUCUUUGCGUGAUCGGUCCCGUGGGUUUUUCACUCCGAAUUGGAGUUUUCCCACGUUAAAUUCUCGGUGUGCUGUUUUAUUUUCCGCUACUUUGUUUUAUUUGCAUCGAGAUUUUCGAGUUUGCCGUUUUUACACCUAUUCACCCCCCUCUAGGUGUUACUUACCUUUUAGAUCCUCGGGAUCCAUAUCUUACAAGUGGUAUCAGAGCGGGUAUAGGUUGUAAUUCAUGGCUGAGGGCGGUAACAUCAAUCGACCCCCGCUCUUCGAUGGCACUAACUAUGCUUAUUGGAAAGUCCGUAUGAGGGCGUUUCUUAUUGCUAUCGACGAGCGGGUUUGGCAAGCCAUUGAAUUCGGAUGGAAAAAUCCUACCGAAGUUGUCGAGAAUGUUACCGUGCCGAAACCUAGGAAUAAAUGGACGAAAGAGGAAAAUGAACUAUCUUCGUUCAACGGGAAAGGUAUCAAUGCUUUAUUCAAUGCUUUAAACCAAACUGAAUUUUCUCGCGUCUCGGCGUGCGAAACCGCCAAAGAGAUUUGGGACACUUUGCGAGUUACACACGAGGGUACAAGUUUGGUUAAGAUUCAAAAAUUGCAAAUGCUUACUAGCAGAUUUGAUUCCAUUCGUAUGGAAGAACAUGAAUCUUUUACCGAGUACUAUACUCGUUUGCAAGACAUUGUAAACACGUGUGCUAACUUGGGCGAGAAAAUUCCCGAUUCCAAAAUUGUUCGAAAAAUUUUGAGAACCCUUCCCGAACGAUUCCGUCCUAAGGUUGCAGCUAUUGAAACGGUCAAACAUCCUGAUGAACUCAAGGUAGAAGAAUUAGUAGGUGCUCUUCAAACUUAUGAAAUGACUUUUCCUUCUAAUUCGUCUUCUUCUAAGUCGUUUUCUAAAACCUCAGGGAUGGCUCUAAAAUCAACAAAAGGAGAUGUCACUUCAACUUCAUCAGAUUCAGAGUCGGAGCAAAGCCUGGAGGACUUUGAAAAGCAACUAGCACUUCUUACAAAGAAGUUUCGUCGGAACUUUAGAAAGAAGGUUCCUCCCAAGUCUACUUCUUCCAAGACAAACAAAUCUAAAGGGGGUUCGUCUUCUUCCUCCUCAUCAAAAUACAGAAAAUCUGAUAACUCUCAAAAGGACUCCACAAAAGAGAAGAAAAGCGGUGAAGGUCAAAUUCAAUGCUACAAGUGUAGAGGCUUUGGUUAUAUCGCAUCUGACUGUCCUAAUAAAAAGUCGUUGAAGAAGAAAGCGAUGCAAGCUAUCACUUGGGACGACUCCUCAUCUGACGAUUCCACUUCGAGUGAAGAGGAUGUAAAUGCCACGACACUAAUUGCACAGGAUUCAACUCUUAUGUGUUUAGCAUCUGCUGACUCGAUCUCCAUAACAUCUAUACAAGAGAAGUCAUCUUCGGAGAACUCAUCGGAUGAAGAAUCGGAUGAAGAUGACAUGGUCGCAGCAUAUCAACAAUUGGUUGUUGAAUUAAAGAAGAUGGCUAAACAUAACAAGAGACUGCGGCGAAGCCUACAUGAGUUGGAACAAGAAAAUUCAAAAUUGGUCUCUUUAACAAAGGAUUUAGAACAAGAGAGAGAUAGCUUGACGAAGGCCAUAAUUCCUUGAUCGAGAAGUGCUCAUUACUUGAAAAGGAAAAAGAGACACAAGUGGAGAAUAUCACUUUUCUCACCAAGCAAUACUCAGAAGCUAGAGAAGCAAAUAUGGAAUUCACCAAGACGAUUAUUCAACUAAAGUCAGAUUUGAACCAAUUUUCGUUUGGAUCAAGUAAACUCGACAAGAUGCUUGGACUUGGUCAAACAAACAAACUUGGACUUCGGUACGAACGGACCUAUGUUGACCAAGCAACAAAGAAAGAUGGCGGACAUUCUUCAACUGCUGUUCCUAAGCUCUAUGGUAAGUUCGUUCCUCCUCAAAAUAAUCUGACUAACAAAGCGUGUCAUAUUUGUGGUGCUUUAGGACACAUAAAGAAGUUCUGCAAACAAAAGGGAAAGAGCUCAUCAACACCCUUGAAUCAAAGAACAUCACUUAUGAAGAAUGAUCUUAAAUCAAGAGGGAAGUCAACUUGGACUCCAAAGAAGGUUGAUUAUAAGAAGAAACGAACAUGGACACCAAAUACUCCGGAAUCAAAGGCAAAACAGGCGUGGAAACCAAAGAAGGAGGAUAUGAAGAAGAAGUCAAUUCAAAUCGUCGACAAGCCACGAUCAACAAAAGCAAGCGAACUGACACAGCCCAAAACAUGUAAGGUUUGGGUGCGCAAAGGUGAACUCUUCCCAUGCCUAGUCAUUCAUACUUCGUUUCAUGCUUACGAUAACUCAUCAUGGUAUCUGGAUAGUGGCUGUUCCCGUCACAUGACCGGAGAUAAAAAUUGGUUUACUUCUUUGACCAAAAUCUCCGGAGGACUUGUUGUUUUUGGGGACGGUCGAUCGUCAAAAAUUGUUGGAAAAGGAACAGUGACUAUUUCAGAUGGCCCUACGUUGAACGAUGUCUUUUAUGUUGAGGAGCUCAAAUCUAAUCUCGUAAGCAUAAGCCAACUGUGUGAUGAUGGGUAUUCUGUGAAUUUUUCUGAUAAAGAAUGCCAUGUGACUCGUGAUGAAAAUCUGUUUUUAAAGGGCAUUAGAUCUCAGAAUAAUUGUUAUGUAGUUCCUAGCUCGUCCACUGAACAUUGUAACCUAGCGUCAUUAGAAACUGAAACUUUAUGGCAUGAACGACUAGGUCACAUAAACUUUAAGGAGCUAUCAAAAGAUAACAAGAGGACGGUAGUAGAGGUGUACCUAGAUUUGAUUUUAAGAGAACACUGUGUGUGGGGGUUGCAAUUGGGAAACAACUAGAAUACUUCUAUGAAAGAACUUGAACCACUUGGGACAAAUUAAGUCUUUAAUACUUAACAUGGACUUGAUGUGCACAUCUAGGAUUUCAAGUUGGGUGAGGAAACGCUUAUAUCUUAAUAUUGUUGAUGAUUUUACCGUUUUGUAUGGGAGGCCUUUCAUCAGAAAAAGCUUGAUACUUUUAAUUCUUGUUUCUGAAUCUAGUCUCCGUUUAUGAUGAACGAAAUGAUAAAUUGAUACGUAUUCGACGAUCAGGGGGAAUUCAUAAGAUUCUAUUUGUUGAUUUUUGUGUUUCAAAUGGUAUUAAAAAAUGAAUUUCCGCGUCCCUAUACCCAAACAAAAGGGAUGUGUUGAACGCAAGAUGAUUGUACGAGAUGUUGGUUUGCUUCUAGUAGAAAUUGCUUACAAUUUUUGGGCCGAAGCAGUUAACAGUCUGUCUAUGUUUCAAUCGGAGUUUAGUAUGUCGCACUUUGAUUAGCCUUAUGAUUUGCUUUUGGUAUGGAAACUAACAUUAAAAUACUUUUCGUGUCUUCGGGAGUAAAUGUUUUAUCCUUCGGGGCUGUGAAAUUUGAAAAAUUGACUCUCGCAAAGUUACGAGGCAUAUUUCUUGGUUAUUCUACUACAGUGUGAUUAUGUGUUACAAUUACGAUCUAAGACGGUGAUAGGUCUAUCAAUAUAAGUAGAUGAAGCUUGUCGUGAGUCUUCUGUGAAUGGUUUCUAAAUCUUGAUGAUGUGAUGAUAAUGAAUCUCGUUUGUAUUGCAUGUGAAUGUGUGUUUUACCUGUGAAUUCAUUUUCUUCUGAAAAAUAUUAAAUCAAAUAAUUAUUCUGAGCCACAAAACCACGUUGAAUUCCUUAGCAUAUUUCCUGGAGAUUACCCCUGCGGGGUCAAGAGAUCAUUCCUUGUUAUCAAAUUGUGAUUGGGAUUCUAAUGUUGUGUGUGCGGACAGAAGUCAUACAAUUGUGGAAUUUGCUGUUUAUGUAUUCUGUUGAUCGAGCAAAGAAUGUCGACGAAGUCUUGGGGAUGAAUAUUGGAUAAAUCCAUGCAAAGAAAGAUUUUGGUCAAUUUUUCGCAAUGAUGUAUGGGAAUGGGGUGCCUCGUACUGAGCACAAUAACAUUUUUAGGUCAAAUUGGGACUUUAAGAUAAGAGAAAUGAGGAUGGUACUAUUGAUGCGGAACAAAGCAUAGACUUGUGGCUCAGGUAUACAAUUGAGGAAUAGUUUUGAUGAAACUUUGCUUCUGGUUGCCGUUUGAAUCUAUUCGUAUUUGUUCGCAAUUGCUUGCAAUUUAAAUCACGCUCUUUCAAGGAUGUCAAAAGUGCCGUUUCUAAAUGGAUUUUUAAAAGAGAAAGUUUAUGUUGAACAACGAAGUGGUUUUAUUGAUCUAAAAUUUUAAAAAUCAUUGUUUUUCGAUUGAAAAUAUGCACUUUUAUGGUUACUAAAACAAGCUCCGCAGCUGGACGUGUUGAGAAAGAUCUUUUGAAAAGGGCUAUAUGAGGGGGAGCGGAUAGAACUUUUUGUAAAACUGAAGGAUAUUUCAUAUAGUGGCAGCAAUAUUGUAGAUGACAUAGUUUUUGGGCGGCUACUAAGACAGGAUGCGUGAUUUUGCAAAGUUUAAUGACCUAUGCGGUUUGAUGGCGGUUUGAGAUUGUCGAUCGAUGGGGGAGCUUAAUUAUUCCUUGGACUCAAGUUAAACAUCAAAAGAUUUUGGAAUUAUCUGUCAGACAAAGUUAUGCAAGGAACUGUUUAAGAGAUUUGAUUGAAAAUGCGAAAGGAUUUGACACGUCUAUGAGUACAAGACAAAGGGAUGAGAUUGAAUCAGCAAUAUCAGAGUGUGGAUGAGAACACAAUACAGAAGCCAUGAUUUGGUAGCCUAUUGUUAUUGACUGUGAGUUCAGAGCCAGAUAUUAGGUUUAGUUUGAAUUUGUGUGGUUAUCAGGUAACCUUAAGGAGAGUACAUCUGAAGCAGUUAAAGGAUCAUUCGGUAUGUUAAAGGAACCACAGUAUGGCUCUGGUUCCUUGGGAACCUCUCUUGACCUAAUCGCUACUUCGAUUAUGCUGACUGGAGGUAGGAUCGCGAGGAUAUCGGAACAGUACUAGUGAGCUGGUUUUUCAUUGGACAUUGUUGGUCGCUUGGAAGUAAGAAACAAAUUGUAUUGCUAUUUCGACGUGCAGAAGGAAUACGUAACUUGUGGCUGGGGAGUUGCUCUACUCAAUUAAUUUGGAUGAAAAGCUUACUGAGCGACUAUCGGAUUCCUUCUACCACUCUUACUAUUCUGUGUGACAACACGAGUGCAAUUAAUAUUUCUAAAAACCCUGUUUUACAUUCUCGAACAAAACAUAUUGAACUAAGAUAUCAUUUUUUAAGAGAACUGGUUGAAUCACACAUCUUACAACUUGAAUAUAUUUCGACUGAAAAUCAACUUACAGAUAUGUUAACCAAACCUUUGGAUCAAAAACGUUUUCUGCAUUUAAGAAAGGCAAUUGGUAUGAACCCUUCAAUCUAGAUAUAUACUAGUGGGUCAUAGGUCAUGUGCAUGUUGCAUUUUUGAUUUUCGGUGGUUGUGAGUUGGUUGAAUUUCCUGCAUAAUGUUGCUGUUUUGAGAGAUGAGUUGAUCUGUGAUUUUAAGUAUUUCAUUUUUAAUUUUUGAUUGAUCACUGUCAGGGUUAUUCUCUAUUGACAUAUUUUUGAACGAUCAAAUCUUUGAAAUUCUGUUUAGCAUAUUGAAUCAAAUUCAACACCUCAUGCUUUGAAAUUUGAAUGUUGGAAUUGUUUGUUUGAUUAUUAGUUUUGAGAUAAAUAAAUCUUUCUCUAUUUUUGAAAUAGCUAUAAUAUUUUUGACUUGAGGGUUGCACUAAUUUAGGAGGAGUCUUUCCAAUUUUAGCUAUGAAAAUUUCUGAAAUUCAAGAUGUGGAAAGAGUUACAUCCCUGCUGGGAGUGUGUAAACUAUCACCACAUGGAGGAAAGAGCUACCACCCCGGUCGUCCGGUUAGUGUGUGCAGCUACCACAUGUUGAUUAAAGUAUCUAUGUAAGACAAAAGGAAAGUACCUUUCAGAAAGAGAAAAAUGUAAGAAUAAUAUGCUCAAAGAGCUAUACAUCUUGUAGGUGAUAUAAGGUGGAAUGUUACUAAAAGAUGCUCAAAGAGCCACUCCUGUCUCGAAUAAUGUGCAUAACUCAAUUUGAUCAUGUUAUGUUAAUUUCACGAUUAUGAGAAUUAUUUAUUCAUUUUCUUUAACAAAAUAUGAUGGUAAAAUGAUACAAUAUAUUCCUAGAUCUUGCAUGAUGUGUGGGAUUUUAUUUUAUAUGUAUCGAGAAUUCUCAUUGAUUUUCGGGUCAAAAAUUUUGAAAUUUUGAAUAUCCCUGAAAUUGAUUUUUCAAAAUUCAUUUAUGAAAUUUUAUUUAAAUUUUUUUGUGGAUGGAAAUAGGUUAUUUGUGGUGAUUGCGCAUUAUGGAAUACCCUUACAUUUUUUUUUUUUGGAAUUUUCGGGCUACAUUUAGAAUAUUUUAAAAUUUCCAGGCUCUGGGACCGGUCCCAGGCAAGAGAGACCGGUCCCUCCGCCAGACCCGAUAAAGGGGUUUAUGCGUAGGGUUCUUUGUACUGUUUCCAAAACUUGAGCUUUUCAUUUCCAGAGUUCUCCCCUGCUUCUCUCUUGUCCUUAGAGUGGGAUUGCUCUCGAUCUUUCUUGGUUUGCAUUGAUUAUAGGUAAGAUUUCGGAUUUUGUUGCUUUUAGUUGAUAUAUUCCGAAAUUAGGUUUUAUUUCAGAUUUUUUGGUGUUUGUUCUAGAGAUCUUGAUGAAUGUGUUCUUUUAGGCUUCGAUCUUGUUUUUAGAUCCGUUAUUUUCAUUUUCUGUAGUAUUUCUUCAUCUUUUUGGUUCAUUUUGUAGGUUUAUCAUGAUCAAAAAUUUGAUUUUCAAUUUUUUUUGUGGGAAAUUGCUUUUGGCUGAUUUUGGUGCAUGAGUGGUUCUUGUUUUUCAUGAUCUUGAGGCCCCUAGGAUCAUCUAGUUUUUAUAUACCAACUUGCUAAACAUGUUUGGAAUUUUUUAGAAAAAUUUGUUUUUAUAGAUGUAAAUUUCAUUAUGUUUAACAGGUGAUUUUCGAAAAUGUACUCGUGGCUUCUUGUGCUUGUUGUUCUUAUGGCUGGCGGUGGUCGUGGAAGCAAACGACAGCGCUCUAAAGCUAAACGGCCGAUUGAGUAUCAACCGGAAGAUGAAGAGAGCGAAUAUGCUCCUGGCGACGACUCUGAGGAGGAUGAGCCGGAUUGGGAGGCCUUUGUUCCCGAGGUAUUAGCUAAGGAUAAGGAUGCUGGGAAAGGCAAGGGAAAAGGAAAAGCAGUGGAUAAAGGCAAAGGAAAGGUGACUGAACGUCCUGGUCGUCGCAAGUACGGCGGUGUUGAAAUUCGAGAACCGGGUUCUGAGCCACCACGUCAUAGUCUACAGGAUGUUCCAUCUGCUCGACGGUCAAUGUACUCGUCGAAACACUGCAUUGGUGAGCGAGAUGUUGGGGUGGCCAGUAUCAUUAGUUGUGUGCCGGGUUUUCAGGAUUUAUUUGAACACGAAAAUCUUCAUCAGAUUUGUGAUUUCCCGGAACAAACCGGUUUUUGUUUGGAGUUGAUCAGAGAAUUUUAUAUGAGAGCAGGUCACCUAAGUGACUCCGACGGCGGCCCGUACGUAUUUAAGACGUCCGUACGUGGUGUUGAGUUAUCCAUCACUCCUGAUACGAUAGCAUCGGUGCUAGGUAUGGAAGCAAAGACUGACGGAGUGGAGUAUCUGCAAGCUGGGUUCGACUCACUUCGCGAUUGGAAUCGUGUAGUGAGCACUAUUUGCAUGUCGGGUUCCGAGUCGAACGGCAUUAUGGUUAUGUCCAAAGAUUUCAAAAUGGAGUAUCGUUUCUUAAACUUCGUGGUUUGCUACAACAUUCUGCCUCUCGCAAACACGAAGAUUCUGAGGUGGGAUCGUAUUCUGUAUAUGUAUCUUUUGGGACGGCCAGAUAUUGUGAGUGAAAAAAAUAUUAACACGAAUAUUCCGUUUCUGAUCCGGCGGAGGAUGGCAAAAGACAUCAAAACUUCUGGACAAAAUGAAAGGCUGCCAUUUCCAUUGAUAAUCAUGAGGAUUCUGCGACUUUGUGAUGUGGAUGUCCGGUGUACAUCUUAUGAGCACAGUUUGGGUCGGAUAAAUGAACGGACAUUUGUGAAGUCCUCGGUGCAGCUUCGUACACCGUCUCAGCGUGCUUCUUCCCCUCCUGCUGCUCCACCUCCUGCUACUGCUACUUCUUCACGUCCUUCUAUGGACAUUUCUGAGGAAGAUAUCUCCGUUUCCUCUGUGUAUCGUGAGCAACAACGUCUAUCUGAGGAGCUUCAGAAAUUGUCUGCGGAGCAAGCUGCGAUUCGGAAGGAUGUAAGCAAGAUGAAGCGCUUAUUGAAUAUGAUUUUUGACAAGUUAGGAUGUUGCCGAGCAGAUUUACCUCCAGGGGAUGCUUCCGAUUAGGCGUUACCGGGUUCCUUCUUUUGUCAUUUUGGCGCUUUCUGACAAAAAGAGGAAGAUGGAGAUGGUGGUUCUUGAUGAUGAUGAUGCAUUUUAGCUUAGCUUCAUGAUGAUGCUCUUGAUCUUGAUAAUGAUGUAUUUAGCUUUGAUGCAGCAUUUUGUUUAGAUGAACUUUAGAUGAACUUUGUUUAGUUAGUGCUUUAGGUGUUUGAUUAUGAACUAUGACUUGAUACUUUGUUUGAUCUUGAUACUUGAAUCUUGAUUAUGUUUUGAGAAUGUUUUUGCAGGAAUAAUUCAAGACUUCAAGACUCCAUGUCUAAGUCAUAGAGUUUGUAUUAAGAUUAUGAAAAUUGUAAUUUUCGUUUAUUGGAUCGAUCAUGCAGGAGAUUAUCGUUUGGUGAUUGCGAUAAUCUUCUUUUUAUUGUUUCUGCGUUGUGUACGAAUUUAUAGUAUAUUUUGUCACGAAAUCGCCAAAGGGGGAGAUUGUUAAGGAUUUUAUAGGUUGGCGAAUUUCGUAAAGUUGGUUGGAGUCUUGAAGAGUGGAUCGCAGAAGUUUUGAAGAAAAGAUUCAAAUUGAAGAACUAAGACUCAUUUGGAAAGCUCGACACCUAAGGUAUGAAGAAAAGAUCAUUUGUGGUGAAGAUACUUAGUUAGAAUAAGUUCAGAAGGCUUAGAUGGUUUUAAAACUACUUUACUGAACUUUUCUGUGUUCUGGGACCGGUCUCAGAGUUCAAGAGACCGGUUCCCCUAAG
rnacentral:lncRNA from 1 species